AUCAAGUUCUUGAUUUUUUAACAACCCUCGAGCAAUUUUCAAGGAUCCUUUCUGAGGCAGCAACAAUAUCAUGGUUAUUUGCAAUUUAUACACACCAGCUGGCGAGCUGAUCCCAGCGAACAAACGUGCCAGGGUUGCUGAAAUUUUCAGUAACCCAAAGGUUAUCAAUGAAGUUUCAUGGUAUGGGAUUGAACAAGAAAACACCCUACUGCGGGACCGAAGAAACGGUCAACUCGUUUGCGGCAAAACAGAGCAAAUCUAGAAUGAAUCGGGAUCACAUUUAGAGAUUAAUUGGGGAAGAUACGACCUGGUAAAUGUGGUCGUGGCCAAGGGUACAGAGUCCAAACCGUGCAAAUUGAAACUCCGCCGAGCUGAUUCCUGUCCAACUCCAGUUCAGGUUUAGCGACGAAGAAGCAAACGACAAUAUCAAUCACGAACACAGAGCAUCACAGAGCAGUAUACUGCGGGGCUGUCCAAGGCAGAUUUGACGAUUCCGAGGGGUGUCGUUGUAUGUACCAGUGUUACCGGGUACAGGUGCGCUAGGAUGAAGCGCUACCGUGAAGUCUUUCGCUGGCAGAAGAUGAGAAAAGGAGGACGACGAAGAAAAAAAAAUAGGGACGCUCGGCCUCACCCCUGCGACAUUGGUUUUAGGCGAAACUGGAACUUCUACGAUGGUCGCCAAAGUGCAGGACGAACGUCUGGAGCUUCAGGAACGGAUGGACAAGCUAAUAGGGUUGACAGCUUGUUACAACGUAAAUAAUCUGUUGUUAUGACACAUUUAUUCUAGUAUUAUGAAUAUACAUAAUUGAAUUUAC